rnacentral:rRNA from 1 species
GGCGACGAUCUGUAGCUGGUCUGAGAGGACGACCAGCCACACUGGGACUGAGACACGGCCCAGACUCAUACGGGAGGCAGCAGUGGGGAAUUUUGGACAAUGGGGGCAACCCUGAUCCAGCAAUGCCGCGUGUGUGAAGAAGGCCUUCGGGUUGUAAAGCACUUUUGUCCGGAAAGAAAACCUCGGGGCCAAUACCUCUGGGGGAUGACGGUACCGGAAGAAUAAGCACCGGCUAACUACGUGCCAGCAGCCGCGGUAAUACGUAGGGUGCAAGCGUUAAUCGGAAUUACUGGGCGUAAAGCGUGCGCAGGCGGUUCGCUAAGACCGAUGUGAAAUCCCCGGGCUUAACCUGGGAACUGCAUUGGUGACUGGCGGGCUAGAGUAUGGCAGAGGGGGGUAGAAUUCCACGUGUAGCAGUGAAAUGCGUAGAGAUGUGGAGGAAUACCGAUGGCGAAGGCAGCCCCCUGGGCCAAUACUGACGCUCAUGCACGAAAGCGUGGGGAGCAAACAGGAUUAGAUACCCUGGUAGUCCACGCCCUAAACGAUGUCAACUGGUUGUCGGGUCUUCAUUGACUUGGUAACGUAGCUAACGCGUGAAGUUGACCGCCUGGGGAGUACGGUCGCAAGAUUAAAACUCAAAGGAAUUGACGGGGACCCGCACAAGCGGUGGAUGAUGUGGAUUAAUUCGAUGCAACGCGAAAAACCUUACCUACCCUUGACAUGUAUGGAACCUGGCCGAGAGGUCGGGGUGCCCGAAAGGGAGCCAUAACACAGGUGCUGCA